rnacentral:rRNA from 1 species
CCUACGGGUGGCAGCAGUGAGGAAUAUUGGUCAAUGGGCGGGAGCCUGAACCAGCCAAGUCGCGUGAGGGAAGACGGUCCUAUGGAUUGUAAACCUCUUCAGGCGGGGAGCAAUGCCGGGUACGUGUGCCCGGAGGGAGAGUACCCGCAGAAUAAGCAUCGGCUAACGCCGUGCAAGCAGCCGCGGUAAUACGGAGGGCCCGGGCGUUAUCCGGAUUUAUUGGGUUUAAAGGGAGCGUAGGCCGCAUGUCAAGCGUGCUGUGAAAUGUCCGGGCUCAACCCGGGCCUUGCAGCGGGAACUGGCGUACUGGAGUCCACGGGAGGCAAGCGGAAUUCGUCGUGUAGCGGUGAAAUGCUUAGAUAUGACGAAGAACCCCGGUUGCGAAGGCAGCUUGCUGCAGCGGAACUGACGCUGAUGCUCGAAAGCGCGGGUAUCAAACAGGAUUAGAUACCCCAGUAGUC